AUUACCAUACUCAGAACCAUUGAAGUAGUGAUUAAUUAUAACUUUUCAAUGUUGUAUUUCUUUUAACUACAAUUACUUUUUCUCUAAUUAUGUUCCCAAAUCAUACAUGUUAAAUUGUUUUUAAUACAAGAAGUGUAUUAACAACAUACAACAGGUAAUAAAUACAUCACCACAAAUUAACAGUCAAAAUUUGCUGCUUUCCCUUCCCCCCCAACAUACGUCUCUUUCAUCAGAAACUUUCAUGGGAAUGUACAAGCUUUAACAAACACAGCCACCAAGAAGGACUUCCAGCGUUGCAAUGAAAUUUCUAAUCCAAUCAGAAACACACACCAGCAUGGUCAAGAGCCCUGUUAGGAGAACACUGUGAUGUGUCAAAUUAAAUCUUGAUCCUGGACUUGUCACAUAACAUGGGAUGAUACAAAUCCAGGAUCAAACUUGAGUCCCUGGUCUAAUACAAAACAGAAGGAAGACUUAGAUCUUUCUCUGUUUCAGAGCACAGAAGUGGUAUCUGGCCAGCUAAAGUGGAAAUUCAGCAGUAUCCAGAACCUGAUAUACAUGCCUACUGUAACAUGCUGUUUAAUAAUACUAAUUCAUGCACUGUGAAAAACAAGAUGUUGGUACGUAUUUUUCUGCAUAAAGGUUUUUAGAAGGUCUAAAAUUCAAGUAUGGAAGAUUACAAUUGCAUUUCAGGUUAAACGUAAUUUAUUUUUUCAUCCGUUGCAGAGAAAAGAGAAUCUGUGCUAUGAUUACCCCUGUAAAUAAUUUCUUCUUCCCAAGCUUUAUAUUGUGAUGUUUUAAUUACAUGCUUAGACAGAUGCCAUCUAAGACUGCUUGAAAAUACAGCCAAGGUCCUAGGGCUAUAUUCAUCAGCUGAACAUGCUUAAAGCAAUCUGCAAAAAACAGAACUCAUCCCUAAAGUGUUCCUUGCAUGUCACACUUGCUUUCCCUUUCAAAGCAUAGAAAAGGAAAUUA